AUGACAUCAAAAUAAAAUUUCCUUGGAUUAAAAAAUUAAUUCAUUUUUCUGAUGGUGCCCCGACACAAUUUAAAAACAAGAAUCAUUUUAUUAACUUGUGCUUCCAUGCAGAAGACUUCGGAAUAAUAAUAGAAGAAUAUAAUUUCUUCGCUACUUCACACGGAAAGAGCGUAUGUGAUGGCAUAGGAGGAUUUAUUAAACGGCUGAUUCGAAAAGCCUCUUAACAAGGAACUCAAAUUUUGAAUGCAAUUCAAAUGUACAACCACUUGAGUACACUCAAAUUAGCUGUUCGAUGCUUUUAUGUUAAUGAGAGUGAAAUUGUAGCAUGGAACAAGAAACUAACCAAAAGAUUCAAUUCUGCAAAAACUGUGAC